rnacentral:rRNA from 1 species
GACGGAGGGUGCGAGCGUUAUUCGGAUUUAUUGGGCGUAAAGAGAGUGUAGGCGGUCAGCCAAGUCUGAUGUGAAAGCCCGGGGCUUAACCUCGGAAGGGCGUUGGAAACUGGUUGACUUGAGUUCGGGAGAGGGAAGCGGAAUUCCGGGUGUAGAGGUGAAAUUCGUAGAUAUCCGGAGGAACACCGGUGGCGAAGGCGGCUUCCUGGACCGAAACUGACGCUGAGACUCGAAAGCGUGGGGAGCAAACAGG